UUUCACCUUCAGGGUAAACGGUUACACAGAAAGAGAGAGAGAUUUCUGAGAUUGAGGGGAGAGAGAGUGAGUUCCUGGGGAUGAAAAACAGGAGAUUCCGGCGACAACUGGAAGUCCGAUUACCCACUACCGGAGGGCCGGACAGUCAAUUUCAAAGCGAGAAGCAGUGGUAAAAAAGACAAGAUGCAAUUCCAUUGGACUAUGAUAUGGUCAUUCAGAAUUGUCUUCCACAGAAAGCAAGCUCAUCACAAUCACAAGAAAGUAGUGGCUAGACCUUCCGCUUGCAGAAUGUUGGUGAGCCAGCUCAAUACGAAUUUUUUUGUCAGCAAUUUGGCAUUUCAGAGGAGCCUUUAUACAAUCAAGGGGCUUUGAUGGGGCCUGCAUAACCACACACUAAAAAUAUGAAUUUAGAAUACUCGGGCGGAACCAUUCAUCACCAUCAACUCAGUGAAGAGAGAAGCAAAGAAUAUAGAAAGUAGGCAAUCCCGUUAUAGUGAUCGAUUCAUUGUAGAGUUUGGGGAGCUUCAAUGUGGAUGUGAUUAUUUUUAAUUAUCUAGUUAACUUGAAUGUUCGCCCCCCUGAUCUAUCUGUUAUCAGAUAUUAACUUUAUUGUCAUUCAUUUGAGGUAAAAAUAUUUGAACCGCAGUUCUUUUGUGGUUUCGGGUUAUUCCUUUCCUCUUGGAUUGUUUCCUUAUUUUUCCCAGCACCAUGCGACAGAAAAUUUGAGGGUCGAUGUUGCUUGU
rnacentral:misc_RNA from 1 species